rnacentral:rRNA from 1 species
CGGUCUAAACAUGCAGUCGAGCGAUCGGAUUAGAGCUUGCUUCGCUGAUGUUAGCGGCGGACGGGUGAGUAACACGUGGAUAACCUACCUAUAACACUGGGAUAACUUCGGGAAACCGGAGCUAAUACCGGAUAAUAUUUUGAACCGCAUGGUUCAAAAGUGAAAGACGGUCUUGGUGUCACUUAUAGAUGGAUCCGCGCUGCAUUAGCUAAUUGGUAAGGUAACGGCUUACCAAGGCAACGAUGCAUACCCGACCUGAGAGGGUGAUCGGCCACACUGGAACUGAAACACGGUCCGACUCCUACGGGAGGCAGCAGUAGGGAAUCUUCCGCAAUGGGCGAAAGCCUGAGAGAGCCACGCCGCGUGAGUGAUGAAGGUCUUCGGAUCAUAAAACUCUGUUAUUAGGGAAAAACAUAUGUGUAAGUAACUGUGCACAUCUUGACGGUACCUAAUCAGAAAGCCACGGAUAACUACGUGCCACCACCCGCGGUAAUACGUAGGUGGCAAGCGUUAUCCGGAAUUAUUGGGCGUAAAGCGCGCGUAGGCGGUUUUUUAAGUCUGAUGUGAAAGCCCACGGCUCACCCSUGGAGGGUCAUUGGAAACUGGAAAACUUGAGUGCACAAGAGGAAAGAGGAAUUCCGUGUGUAUCGGUGAAAUGCGCAGAAAUAUGGAGGAACACCGGUGGAGAACGCGACUUUCUGGUCUGUAUCUGACUCUGAUGUGCGAAAGCGUGGGGAUCAAACGGGAUUAUAUACCCUGGUAGUCCCCGCCGUAACGAUGAGUGCUAAGUGUUAGGGGGGUUUCCGCCCUUUAGUGCUGCUCUAACGCAUUAAGCACUCCCGCCUGGGGGAGUACGAGCGCGAUGGUUGAACUCAAAGGAAUUGACGGGCAGCCGCACAAGCGGUGAGCAUGUGGUUUAAUUCGAAUCAACCCGAAGAAUCUUACAAAUCUUGAAAUCCUUUGACAUCUCUAGAGAUAGAGUCUUCCCUCGGGGCAAAAGUGACGAGUGAUGCAUGGUUGCCAUCAUCUCGUGUCAUGAGAUGUGGAUUAUUCCCUCACCACCGCCACCGUGAGCCUUAGUUGCCAUCUUGAAGUUGUCAACUCAGCUGACUGCUAGUUGAACAGCGGAAAAGCGGCGUGGAAAAUGGACGGG